CCUACGGGGGGCAGCAGUGAGGAAUAUUGGUCAAUGGACGAGAGUCUGAACCAGCCAAGUAGCGUGAAGGAUGACUGCCCUAUGGGUUGUAAACUUCUUUUAUAUGGGAAUAAAAUGUUCCACGUGUGGGAUUUUGUAUGUACCAUAUGAAUAAGGAUCGGCUAACUCCGUGCCAGCAGCCGCGGUAAUACGGAGGAUCCGAGCGUUAUCCGGAUUUCUUGGGUUUAAAGGGAGCGUAGGUGGAUUGUUAAGUCAGUUGUGAAAGGUUGCGGCUCAACCGUAGAAUUGCAGUGGAAACUGGCAGUCUUGAGUACAGUAGAGGUGGGCGGAAUUCGUGGUGUAGCGGUGAAAUGCUUAGAUAUGACGAAGAACUCCGAUUGCGAAGGCAGCUCACUGGACUGCAACUGACGCUGAGGCUCGAAAGUGUGGGUAUCAAACAGGAUUAGAUACCCCAGUAGUC
rnacentral:rRNA from 1 species